AAUCAACGCUGGCGGCGUGCCUAAUACAUGCAAGUCGUACGCGAAGACCCCGCAAGGGGUUGUUAGCGUGGCAAACGGGUGAGUAACGCGUGGGCGACCUGCCUUCGAGUGGGGGAUAACCUUCCGAAAGGAGGGCUAAUACCGCAUGACAUACCGCGCUUGGAUGCGCGGAUAUCAAAGCCGGGGAUCGCAAGACCUGGCGCUUGAAGAGGGGCCUACGUCCGAUUAGCUAGUUGGUGGGGUAACGGCUCACCAAGGCGACGAUCGGUAUCCGGCCUGAGAGGGCGGACGGACACACUGGGACUGAGACACGGCCCAGACUCCUACGGGAGGCAGCAGUAGGGAAUUGUUCGCAAUGGGCGCAAGCCUGACGACGCAACGCCGCGUGGAGGAUGAAGGGCUUCGGCUCGUAAACUCCUUUCGACCGAGAUGAAUACCCGCAGGGCCAAUACCCUUGCGGACUGACAGUAUCGAGGGAAGAAGCCCCGGCUAACUCCGUGCCAGCAGCCGCGGUAAUACGGGGGGGGCAAGCGUUGUUCGGAAUUACUGGGCGUAAAGGGUUCGUAGGUGGUCAACUAAGUCAUACGUGAAAUCCCUCAGCUUAACUGGGGAACUGCGUCUGAUACUGGUUGACUUGAGUGCAGGAGAGGAACGCGGAAU
rnacentral:rRNA from 1 species